AACGAACGCUGGCGGCAUGCCUAACACAUGCAAGUCGAACGAGACCUUCGGGUCUAGUGGCGCACGGGUGCGUAACGCGUGGGAACCUGCCCUUAGGUUCGGAAUAACUCCCCGAAAGGGGUGCUAAUACCGGAUAAUGUCUUCGGACCAAAGAUUUAUCGCCUUUGGAUGGGCCCGCGUUGGAUUAGCUAGUUGGUAGGGUAAAAGCCUACCAAGGCGACGAUCCAUAGCUGGUCUGAGAGGAUGAUCAGCCACACUGGGACUGAGACACGGCCCAGACUCCUACGGGAGGCAGCAGUGGGGAAUAUUGGACAAUGGGCGAAAGCCUGAUCCAGCAAUGCCCGGUGAGUGAUGAAGGCCUUAGGGUUGUAAAGCCCUUUUACCCGGGAUGAUAAUGCCAGUACCGGGAGAAUAAGCCCCGGCUAACCCCGU
rnacentral:rRNA from 1 species